UAGGGAAUCUUCCGCAAUGGACGCAAGUCUGACUGAGCAACGCCGCGUGAGUGAAGAAGGAUUUCGGUUCGUAAAACUCUGUUGUUAGAGAAGAACAGCGCAUAGAGUAACUGUUAUGCGUGUGACGGUAUCUAACCAGAAAGCCACGGCUAACUACGUGCCAGCAGCCGCGGUAAUACGUAGGUGGCAAGCGUUGUCCGGAUUUAUUGGGCGUAAAGCGAGCGCAGGCGGUCAAUUAAGUCUGAUGUGAAAGCCCCCGGCUCAACCGGGGAGGGUCAUUGGAAACUGGUUGACUUGAGUGCAGAAGAGGAGAGUGGAAUUCCAUGUGUAGCGGUGAAAUGCGUAGAUAUAUGGAGGAACACCAGUGGCGAAGGCGACUCUCUGGUCUGUAACUGACGCUGAGGCUCGAAAGCGUGGGUAGCAAACAGG
rnacentral:rRNA from 1 species